AAAAAAAAAAAAAAAAAAAAAAAAUACAAAAAUAAUACAAAAAUAAUACAAAAAUAAUACAGAAAUCGUACAGAAAUAGCGAUAGGUGGAAAAGGUAGAAUAGGAAACAUAAAAGUGAUAAAAAAACUAGCAAAAAAAAAAAAAAAAAAAAAAAAAAAAAGGAACGAUAAUGACAUAACAUGGCAGGAUAAGAUAGGAUCUGACAGGAUAGGACGGGAUAUAACAUGAAACCUUUUUAUUAACAUAUAUAACAUUUUUAAGCUAAUAUAUUUGUUUCUAUAUUAUUAUUUUUUUUUUUUUUUUUUUUUUUUUUUUUUUUUUUUAUUUUUUUUUUUUUUUUUUUUUCCCCUACGUAGUACAUGUUUGAAUGUGUAUUCUAAACUUUUUUUUAUUAUUUAUUUUUUUUUUUUUUCUCAAUCAAACCUAACAUUGUUGUAGUUUUUUU
rnacentral:lncRNA from 1 species